rnacentral:rRNA from 1 species
GACGAACACUGGCGGCGUGCCUAAUACAUGCAAGUAGAACGCUGAAGGAGGAGCUUGCUUCUCUGGAUGAGUUGCGAACGGGUGAGUAACGCGUAGGUAACCUGCCUGGUAGCGGGGGAUAACUAUUGGAAACGAUAGCUAAUACCGCAUAAGAGUAGAUGUUGCAUGACAUUUGCUUAAAAGGUGCAAUUGCAUCACUACCAGAUGGACCUGCGUUGUAUUAGCUAGUUGGUGAGGUAACGGCUCACCAAGGCGACGAUACAUAGCCGACCUGAGAGGGUGAUCGGCCACACUGGGACUGAGACACGGCCCAGACUCCUACGGGAGGCAGCAGUAGGGAAUCUUCGGCAAUGGACGGAAGUCUGACCGAGCAACGCCGCGUGAGUGAAGAAGGUUUUCGGAUCGUAAAGCUCUGUUGUAAGAGAAGAACGAGUGUGAGAGUGGAAGGUUCACACUGUGACGG